GAUCAAUCCAGAGAAGGGCACAAAAGUUGAAACCAAGAAAAACAAGAAGCAACUUUCAGUGAACUUGAGUUCCUUCAGAGGUGUUUCUUCCUGAUCAAUCCAGAGAAGGGCACAAAAGUUGAAACCAAGAAAAACAAACUUGUUAUAUCUUGCCAGAACAAACUUUUCAGAUAAGCAAGGUAGGUAAGCUACUAGGAGGGACUUUGCAGAGCUUGUUGACUAGCCAUGCAUUUGAUUUAAUAAAGCUGUCCCUAAGGAAAAUUCAAGCCUUUGUUUCAGUGCUUUUGUUGUUUUGUGGCAUUUCUAAGAAGAAUCUCCUUUUAAGGUAAGUAAAUUGCACAUAUAUGUAAAUAUUUAAAUUAGUAGAAGAGCAGUUUGAACAGGUAAUUAAGACAAUGUACUCUUAUCUUGUAACAUUUAAUGAAUUUGCCCUUGCCACCUUUCAGACAUUGCAUUCAAACUUGAGGUGCUGGUUUUCAUGACACGCAGGAAAACGAAGUAGAGAGAGAGAGAGACAGGAAACACAGUGGAUUGAGAGGGAAUGAUCUGCAGCAAAGAGCCCACGAGGAAUCAAAC